rnacentral:rRNA from 1 species
AGAGUUUGAUCCUGGCUCAGGAUGAACGCUGGCGGCGUGCUUAACACAUGCAAGUCGAACGAAGCACUCUACUUGAUCUCCUUCGUGAGUGAUUGUUUAGUGACUGAGUGGCGGACGGGUGAGUAACGCGUGGAUAACCUGCCUCACACAGGGGGAUAACAGUUGGAAACGGCUGCUAAUACCGCAUAAGCGCACGGUGCUGCAUGGCACAGUGUGAAAAGCUCCGGCGGUGUGAGAUGGAUCCGCGUCUGAUUAGCCAGUUGGCGGGGUAACGGCCCACCAAAGCGACGAUCAGUAGCCGGCCUGAGAGGGCGACCGGCCACAUUGGGACUGAGACACGGCCCAGACUCCUACGGGAGGCAGCAGUGGGGAAUAUUGCACAAUGGGGGAAACCCUGAUGCAGCGACGCCGCGUGAGCGAAGAAGUAUCUCGGUAUGUAAAGCUCUAUCAGCAGGGAAGAUAAUGACGGUACCUGACUAAGAAGC